rnacentral:rRNA from 1 species
CACGUAGGUGGUCCAGAAAGCCCUGCCUCAAAUCCUCGCGCUCAACGCGAGAUUGCGGUGGGGGACUGCUGGACUUGAGGAUUGGAGAGGCGAGCGGAACUCCCGGUGUAAGGGUGACAUCUGUAGAGAUCGGGAAGAACACCAGUGGCGAAAGCGGCUCGCUGGCCAAUUACUGACACUGAGGUGCGAAAGCUAGGGGAGCAAACA